rnacentral:Y_RNA from 1 species
GGCUGGUCCGAGUGCAGUGGUGUUUACAAUGAAUUGAUCACAACCAGUUCCAGAUUCUUUUGUUCCUUCUCUACUCCCACUGCUUCGCGUGCCUAGCCUUAA